UAUUACAAAAUCCACAGUGGGGAAAGAUAUCUUUCACAAUGAAUCAAGCAUUUGUCAUACACCGUGAAUAUUUGCCAGGGCUACUAUUGGCAUCCCAAUGCACCAUAAAGUAAUGAAUAAAUUUAGAUUAGAAAGAGGAUUUUUCAUUUUAUGUCUGGGGAGGAAACAAUGUUUAUUCUUUUAGGACAUAUUAUUGAGUUGUUGUGAUCUAUGUGUCAAAAAGUCAAAACUAUGAAGAAGGAAGUAGGUGUUGCAAUACAGUGUGCACGUUUACUAUUGAACCACUUGCAGAAAAUAUGUGGUCAGUCAGACUGCACAGCUUCAGAUUAUCGGAUGUGGAUGAGGAAUCAGUAGAAACCAGUACAGUGAGUUAAAAGCUGACUUUUUAAUUAAUCCCACUUUGGAAGGAAAUGGAAAUGGUCUAAUCUCUACCAUCUCGAGAGUCUUCUUUUGUGGGAAAAGGUGCCUGAAGCUUUUCCAUUUGUCCCAAUCCAGGAAAGAUCACUGAAUCUAUCUCACUAUCAUGGGAAAACUGCCAAAUGGCACCAUAGAGAUGCUUAAGAACCAAAUGCUGCAGACCACUUUGCCUGCCCUCUACUUGUUCAUCUUCAUCCUCAGCAUUCCCCUCAAUUCUAUCUCCUUAUGGUUCCUUUGCCGCCAUUCAAGGCCUUGGACUCCCACCAUCAUGUUUUCCAUUAACCUGACAAUCACGGACUUGCUAUACAGCAUACUCCUCCCUUUUCAAGUUGUCUACCACUUACGGGGAAAUGACUGGCCCUUUGGACAGGUUCUGUGCCGCAUCGUAACUGUGCUAUUCUAUGCAAACAUGCACUGUUCCGUUUUAACCAUGACGAGCAUCAGCAUAGAGCGCUACCUGGGAAUUGUUCACCCGCUGAAGCACAGGGCCAUGAGACCCAUUAGAACAGCUCUGCUGACCUGCAUCAUCGUUUGGAUAUUUGUUUUACUGCUGCACUUCCCACUCAUGAAGACAGAGCUAACCUUCCAGGUAGAGGAGCUGCAGAUAACCACUUGUUUUGAUAUAUUGCCCAAAGCUAUGUUUCCUUCAAGAAAUCAUUUCAUUGCUUAUUUUGGCUCUCAAGUUCUUCUGUGCUUUUUCCUACCUUUGCUAAUAAUGGCAUUCUGCUACACCUUAGUUAUUCGAACUCUUCUUAACUCCCCUCCCACACAACUAAGGGAAAUUAAGAAGCAGACAAUUUAUCUGAUAAUAGUGUUGCUUACAGUCUUUAUAGUGUGUUACAUGCCCAAUAUUGUGAUAUCAAUCAUCCAUUUCAUCUAUAGUACCCAAAAUAAGACUGCUUAUGUGGAAUAUAAGCUGUCUCUGGCUUUGAAUAGCCUUAAUUGUUGCUUCGAUCCAUUUGUUUAUUUUUUUGGUUCCAAAGAGUUUCGACGAAAGAUACAGAAGAAACUCUGCAGAUGCAUGCCUGAUAUAUUCAGUGAAACUGUCACCAUCUUUUCAGAACAAGAUGUGCCAAUAACAUCCAGAGAACAUGCGCCACAUAAUUAAAAAAUGUAUUUGUUCUGGAACAGAUUAUAUUAGUCAUUGCACCGAAUCAUCAUCCAGAGAGUUUAGAAAUUGUUCUAUUUUAGAACACAGAAUGUCAAGAGAUACAGAAAAGUACACCAGGCAAUAUAUUGCCACAACUUAUUCUGGAAACAAACCAGGCACUCAGGAAGGCUCAACAUGCAUGAAAAAAGGCAUCUCUCUUAGCUUGCUCAGAACAAUGCAUUAUGGGACGUAAACUACUAUAAAUUAGGAACACAAGAAAUGUGUCAGUGCCAGGUACCUGCACUCCCUUGGAAUGUGUUUCUGGAACAUUUUCUAAAACCUGUUUCCCAGUUCAGCAUUUCUAAAGUAAAUAAUUGACAGCAAUAAAAUAAACACCACGUUUGUGAGGGGCAGAGGAAUAGCUGAACCUAAAAUGAUGCACAUCCCUUGACUUAGGAGUAAGCAAAGACUGGUGAUUAGCAUCUGUAAUAGGGGAAAAGCCAAAAGACAUGAAUACAAGGAUUAAUCUGGUCAUGCAAAUUUUAUUUCCUCUUUAUCAGUAUUUACUUGACUGGCAUAUUCAGUCUUAAAGCAUAAAGCUUAUGCUCCUUUUUCACUGACACUGCUUUGACAGGCCAUUUAUAGACAUUUUACUAUGCAAUGUAUUAUACCUCACUUAUGUGGCGAGACCCAGCAAAGAAGAGAACCCACCCCCAGCAGCCUACUGCUACAAACCUUUCUGGUUUCAGAGACUGGUCUUGUAUAACCUAACCCAAACCCAAACCCAUACCCAUGCUGCUGUCAUGGAUUGGCUGUAAGGAUAUGUCUACACUGCAGUUAGACCCCUGUGACUGGCCGAUGCCAGCUGAUUCAGGUUUGCUGGGCUCAGGCUAAGGGGCUAUUUAAUUGUGGUAUAGACAUUCCGGCUCAGGUUGCAGCCCAGACUCCAGGACUCUGCGAGGUUAGAUGGUCCCAGAGCGCGGGCUACAGCCUGAACCUGAACAUCACCACUACAAUUAAACUACCCCAUAGCCUGAGUAACAGGCCAGCUGUGGAUUUUUAAUUGCAGUGUAGACAUAUCCUAAAUUCCCCUUCCCUUGAUGUUAUGCAGCAGCAACAAGAGCAGCUCAGGGUCAGGGUGGGGAAGGUCUCUUGUCAGGCAGAGCUUGUCUCAGGGGAGUUCUGAGCAGUGAUCUGCAGCUGAAGUGCUGUUAAAAUUCAAAGGAAGCAGAUUUGCAAGUGAGACUUCUCUCCUUAGAAGCUCUGCAGCUGAGGAAGGCACCUGUCAUGCAGAGUUCCUGAGCUCCUCCUAUGCAGCAUCUCUGCCCUGAAAGGCUGAGUGCCUCCUGCUCCUACCACUUCUCCAUAUAUUUUAUUUUAUUUCCUCACUUGUUUUCUGCCCCCUCCCCCCAAACUAUUCCAUCAGGCUUGCUGGCUGUCCAUAUAAAUUGUACAAAAAGGAAACUAUGCAGCAGUGUAACCCUGUGGGCUAAUGCACUGUCCCGUGGACCAAAGAAUACUUUCCAUUCACAGGAUUUUGGUCCUUUUUCUCCUGGGCUUUGGUUUUAUUUCUUCAAAAAUAAAGCUGUUUAACACAUGCUCAA